ensembl:lncRNA
GAGGAGGAGGUAGAAGCAGUAGGUUUGGAGGGUUUUGAGGAGGAGGUAGAAGCAGUAGGUUUGGACAGUUGGAGGAGGAGGUAGAAGCAGUAGGGUUGGAGGGUUGGAGGAGGAGGUAGAAGCAGUAGGUUUGGACGGUUGGAGGAGGAGGUAGAAGCAGCAGGGUUGGAGGGUUUUGAGGAGGAGGUAGAAGCAGUAGGUUUGGACAGUUGGAGGAGGAGGUAGAAGCAGCAGGUUUGGACGGUUGGAGGAGGAGGUAGAAGCAGCAGGUUUGGACGGUUGGAGGAGGAGGUAGAAGCAGCAGGGUUGGAGGGUUUUGAGGAGGAGGUAGAAGCAGUAGGUUUGGACGGUUGGAGGAGGAGGUAGAAGCAGUAGGUUUGGAUGGUUGGAGGAGGAGGUAGAAGCAGUAGGUUUGGACGGUUGGAGGAGGAGGUAGAAGCAGUAGGUUUGGACGGUUGGAGGAGGAGGUAGAAGCAGCAGGUUUGGACGGUUGGAGGAGGAGGUAGAAGCAGCAGGUUUGGACGGUUGGAGGAGGAGGUAGAAGCAGCAGGGUUGGAGGGUUUUGAGGAGGAGGUAGAAGCAGUAGGUUUGGACGGUUGGAGGAGGAGGUAGAAGCAGUAGGUUUGGACGGUUGGAGGAGGAGGUAGAAGCAGUAGGUUUGGACAGUUGGAGGAGGUAGAAGCAGCAGGGUUGGACGGUUGGAGGAGGAGGUAUGAUAGUUUUUGCCUGCCUCACUAUAAGCAGCAGGGUUGGAUGAGGAGGUGGUAGUAGUAGCAGGGUUAGAGUGUUGGAGGAGGAGGUAGUAACAGCAGGGUUGGGUGAGGAGGUAUUAGUAGCAGGGUUGAAGGAGAAGGUAGAAGCAGCAGGGCUGGAUGAGGAGGUAGAAGCAGUAGAGUUGGAGGAUGAGGUUAAAGCGGUACAGUUUGAGGGGAAGGUAGAAGCAGCAGGGUUGGAGGAGGAGAGGGAAGCAGCAGGGUUGGAGGAGGAGGUAGAAGCAGCAGGGCUGGAGGAGGAGGUAGAAGCAGCAGGGCUGGAUGAGGAGGUAGAAGCAGCAGGGCUGGAUGAGGAGGUAGAAGCAGCAGGGUUGGAGGAGGAGGUAUUAGCAGCAGGGUUGGAGGAGGAGGUAUUAGCAGCAGGGUUGGAGGAGGAGGUAUUAGCAGCAGGGUUGGAGGAGGAGGUAGAAGCAGCAGGGUUGGAGGAGGAGGUAUUAGCAGCAGGGUUAGAGGAGGAGGUAUUAGCAGCAGGGUUGGAGGAGGAGGUAGAAGCAGCAGGGUUGGAGGAGAAGGUAGAAGCAGCAGGGUUGGAGGAGGAGGUAGAAGCAGCAGGGUUGGAGGAGGAGGUAGAAGCAGCAGGGUUGGAGGAGGAGGUAGAAGCAGCAGGGUUGAAGGAGGAGGUAGAAGCAGCAGGGUUGGAGGACGUAGUAGCAGCAGGGUUGGACGGUUGUAGGGAAGGAAGUAGCAGCAGGGUUAGAGGAGGUAGAAGCAGCAGGGUUGGAGGAGGAGGUAGAAGCAGCAGGGUUGAAGGAGGAGGUAGAAGCAGCAGGGUUGGAGGACGUAGUAGCAGCAGGGUUGGACGGUUGUAGGGAAGGAAGUAGCAGCAGGGUUAGAGGAGGUAGAAGCAGCAGGGUUGGAGGAGGUAGUAGCAGCAGGGUUGAAGGAGGAGGUAGAAGCAGCAGGGCUGGAUGAGGAGGUAGAAGCAGCAGGGUUGGAGGAGGAGGUAGAAGCAGCAGGGUUGGAGGAGGAGGUAGAAGCAGCAGGGCUGGAUGAGGAGGUAGAAGCAGCAGGGCUGGAUGAGGAGGUAGAAGCAGCAGGGCUGGAUGAGGAGGUAGAAGCAGCAGGGUUGAAGGA